UAAAAUAUUUUCCCACUUUGAUAGCUAGAGAAAGAAACAGAUAGGUGCAACUUAUGAUUUGCCAUUCAUAAAAGAUCCACUGGAGAACUUCGUCCUGUAUGGAAUUUGGUGGAUGAAUCUGUAUCCCGACCGAAAUACAACGUUCGAAGUUUAACUUUUGGUUUCGGAUAUGCCACGUAUACAACUAAACUUAAUUUAAGUUAUGAGUGCUUGAAAGAAUUAAUAGUUUCAAGUGGGCUUUCGAUUGGUUUAUCGACUCUAGUUUAGUCUUUGACGGAUGUUGAAAUAAUGUAUGACAACCUGUUGUUAUUAUCUUA